UGGCUCAGCCAAUGCAUCGAUUUUUGCAGCUCGUUGGGAAAUACAGUAGAAAGGUUGAUUUAGCAGUAGUAGGAUUUUAUUACGGAGAUAAUCAGAAGUCACCUACUACUAGAGUUUGCGGAAGCGCUCUGUUUUCGCCGGCGUUCAAUUUUGCUUUCCUCCCCUCCCAGCCCCGCCGGCCAUUCUAGCCUCGGUGCUCGUCGGCCCGCCGCCACAGCCCCGCCGGUCGGUUCCCCUACCCACGCCGCAGUCCCGCGCCUCCAAUCGCGCCCCCACGUGCAAACCCUAGCGCCGCCCAACCCUACCGCCGUUGGCGACGAACCAGACCGGGCGCGCCUUCUCAUGCCGCGCCCCGACCACUUACGAGGCACAGCCGGCCCCCGUCGUCGUCGUUCCGGUCCGGCGACAAGGAGGCCGACCUGUUGCGCGCCUCCAACGUCAACGACGCCGCGCUUCUGCGGCCCCCGCCUCGCGCCGGCGAGUAGGCCGAUUGGGCCUUCUUCUGCCUCGACCCGCCAGUUCCUCCCCCACACCCACCGGCGCGCGGCAAAUUAGGAGGGGAGGUGAAGGGACCUCCUUUUUCUGCACCGCCGCGUUACUGGGCGUUUCCGGCGGCGCCACGGCACGACGACGACCUGUGGAACGCUAGCGCAGGUCCUUCCGGCCAGAGCCGCAUAGCUUCUCCAGGACCAUCGUCUCCCUCGCCGACUGGCUCUGCGGCGUGGCCCGCCUCCUGCUGCUCCGGGCCGGCAAGAUCCGGCUGUCCUGGUUCCUCCAGGUGCGCGGCCUGUCACCUCGACAGAAAUGAAGACCUGCUGCUGCUCAGCGACAUCGAAGAUGACGGGCUGGUGCUGACAGAGCCCAGUCACUGAAGCAGCAUGCAGGUUGUCACCAUGGAGGUCAAUGGUCAUCAAAACCUAGAAGACGGGCAGAGAGCAAUGGUGUAAAACCACUCAAUAAUUUUGAUGAAGUUGAUCAAUGGACGGCGUGGCGUAGAAACCACGGACGAUAUCAUUGUUACUGAUGGGAAACCUACCUUUUAAUAUAUUAAUUUGCCAAGGUUGUCACCAUGGAUAUCAAUGGUCAUCACAAACCUAGAAGACGACAGAGAGUAAUUGUGCAAAACCACUCAAUAAUUUUGGUGUAGUUGAUCCAUGGACGGCGUGGCGUACAAACCACAGACAAUAUCAUUGUUAACUGAUGGGAAACCUGCCUUUUAAUGAGAUCCUUCGGUGGAGGUAACAGAGGAGAGUUGCGACACCUCCCAGGAAGCAAAGUGCAUUGCGAAUAGCCAUGUGAUUGUCAUUGGUGUCAACAUUGGCAUCGGUGGGAAGCGCAAACCCGCUGCCUCAUGUGGUCCUGCUGCCUUGUGAUGGCGGUAGCCUCAGUGCACGACAACCAUGGCACUGUCAGUGUUGUGCUUUUUGUACAACCGUAUGAUGGUAGAUCCUUUGGUGGAGGUUACCGAGGAUAAUCAGGACGAAGGAAAGUGUAUGGCUAUUCGGCUCUAACAGUGAUGCUGCUAAUGGUCUUCGACAACCCUGUGACGUUCAUCCAUGGCUACACACCUCCGGUUAAUAAUGAGCCUUCGAUAGCGCCUCUCCAUUGAACCUGGAGUUGCUGAUGCCGGCGAGAGCUGCAGUAGUGCUGUUGCAGCUGGGCUAGCUGUGGCCGCUCGCGUGUUGGUAGGCUCGGCUGCCCCGGACUUUGACUACCUCGUUGGCACCACACCGCAACCUUGAUGGUGGUUACUAUCGUCCUCGGCUACACCCCGCUGUGGUGAGCUCCUCGAGCUUCCUUCUUCCAUGUGGUAGCACUGUCAUUGCCGCUGCGGUUCUGUGCUCCACCUUUGUGCGGUUUGGUUCAUAUUUCUCUGUUUUACUCCAUUAAUUUGGUUGUUGUAAAAAAUUAAUCUUGAGAUAUGUAAGUGUCUGCAUCAUUUUAAAUUUAUUGGUUGCUAUGGUUUCUGUAAUAUAGUGCAAGUGCGCUAGGUUCUAAUGGUAUCGAAAGAAAAUUAUACCUAGUGAAUUAAGGUGCCACUAAGCUGCAUUCUGGUAGUAUUGUUCUAUAUUUACAUCAUAUUUUUGUAUGGUAUUUUCUUUGAUCGGAAUGAUGCUCCUAUAGCCGGCUAACCUUUUGUGGUUGAGCAAUUCAGUAUCUAUACAUGAUCCUGUAGCCUCAAACUUGAACUGGUUAUCCUACAUCAUUGAGGGUUGAGAUAUUAAAGUUUUGGUUUUGGUUUUGGUUCCCUAAAGUUUGACCUCAGGUGAUGCAAACACUAACAGCUUUCCAGAAUAUAUUUUCGAUUCCUUCGUUUUUUGUACUUCGGAGGAGAAGUGGAGGUUGAUGUUGUCCAGGAGUUAUCCAUGGCCGCUGGAUCUGGUCGUCUGGUAGUGGUGAUCUUCUACCAUGUGGUUUCUGGCAGCGGUGGCCUCCUUCGAUCCCGUGGGUAUUGAUAUGUAUUUGGAUGCUUCAGCAAAAUCAUCUAUCGGUGGCUGGUUGUAUUUGUUCAACUCUUUUACGAGUGGCCUUUAGUACUUGCUUUGAUUCACCAAAGAAGAAUCAGUGGUACUUGGUUUUGCUUGAUGUAGGACCAGGCGGCGGUGCCGGUGAGCAAUGACGAGCCGGUGUUCCGGCCUGGAGAUGGGAAGGCUGGUCUGCAGCUUCACCGACCUCAGUCGUUGGGGCCCUUGGCUUGUGGUGUUAGCUAUCACGUUGAAGUUUGUGGUUCAGCCUUUGGCUGACAUGUCCUGGGCGACUCCUCGGUCGGAGAUGCAGACAUGCGUGCAUGCUUUUGAUGGCAAGGUACUAGUACUAGAUGGUCUGCAUGAUAUUCAUGGCAAGGACUGAUCCAGGUUAACUCGUGAUGCAAUAUUGGAGUAUAGAAGGGUCCAGAAGAUGGUAAUGUAUACCUUGAAGAUGACAAGGCUUUCCAGAUGGUCCGGAACGGCCUCAUGGUGCUAUUCUGCACGGCGUAGUGCCUUCCUGGAGCAGCUGGAAUGUUUGUUUUGCCCCUGCGGGCAGAGAAGACGGAGUUGGCCGGGGCCAUCAAGGUGGGGCUCGAGGAGUCUAAGGAAGGACCCUCAUCGAGGAUAUCGCUGAGAAGCUCAAGGUGGUUGUUGCCAAGGACAAUGUCAAGAAGCAGCUGAAGGCCAAGUUCAUCAUAGCCUCACCUGUCACCAUUAUGGUGCUAAUAGGACCAGUUAAUUUUGGGUCAUUUCUCCAGAUCCAGAAGAUGUUCUCUGUGUAACUGUAUCUGGCUGGUUGCAAUAUUCUUCUACGUCCCUUCUACUCUUCUCCAUGAUUCUUGUUGAGCGAGCAUGACUGCGCAUUUUCUCACUAGGCUGAUAGCUUGUGUUUUCUUGUUUACUCUUAGGAUCGAAAAAGAGAGGUCAUCUAUAUAUCCAAAUGAAUUUUCUGUUUGCAUCUUAAUUGGAACCUAUGUUCUUGUUCUUGCUCUUGUGAUGGCCAGUAGCUGACCUUGAAUUAACCCUGUGAUAAUUUUUGUAAUAACCAAUGGAAUUGUAAAUUGCGGUGCUCCAAA